GCGGGGCCCUUCCGGGUGUCCCGGGCCGCUCCGUGCUGCCCCUGCCGGCCGGAGGGGCGCGGGGUCCCCAAGCCGCCUCCUCCCCCUUUGGGGCUGCGGAGGGGAAACUGAGGCUCUGAGCCGGGCAGGCGAGGAGAGGCGCGGGACUCCGGGAUGGGGCCCUUUCUGCCUUCUGAUUAAUCAUCGCAGCAAUCACCGUGGUUAAGUAUCUCCAGGGUUUACGGAGCAUGGCCCUGGAGUUCACAGGCGCAGAAGCAACUAUGGUCCAGCCAUUGUACAGAUGAGUAAAUUGAGAUAAGGAUGCUGAGGCCCAGAGAAGCAGAGCGGCUUGCCCAGGUGCCCCGUGCAUCAGUGUCAGAUCCUGAGCCCACAGGAGGGAGGCCUGGAUCGUGAGGGAGCCCGCAGAUCCUGCCACUGAGCUCCAGGCUAGUGAGGGCACAGCAGGAUUGCUCCCAGCCUGGCAUGUGACCUGCUCAUGUGUGUCAGCAGCCCACACACCUACCAGAGUGAUCCAGUAACGUCAGCCUCAGAGAGCAGUUGGCAUAUGCGGAGCACUCAACGGAUGCUCAUCUAGUGAAGAAUGGAAUGAACUGGUCAAUGGGCAGAUGCCAAUUAUCAGAAAGAAGCCCUAAUUUUGGACUCAGAAGCCCAGCCCUCAAAUCUCAGCAGUGUGCCUGGGACAUGAGGCUUCCCCCACCAUGCUGCCGAUUUCUCACCCGUACAAUGGACGUACCACCAUCGCCACCUUCAAUGACGGGAGGGAAGGCUCCAGACUAUCUACCUCGUAACAACACCAGGUGUUCAAAAGUUGAGAUUGUUUCGAAAGCCCAACUGGAAACUCCUGUGUCCUCUUAACAACAGGUCGGGAUAGUUUUCCCACACCAUCAGACCUCCACAGCUGGCGGUGGAUUCCCAAGGAUAAGUAUAUACCCAUGAAAAAGGACAGGGCAGGCAAACACCCAAACAUCUAUGUUGUGGUUAAGACUGAGGCCCUGGGGUCAAAUUCUGGCUCCCACCACUUUCUGACUCUCUGACGUCAGCUAGGUGUUUGGACCUUCAUGCCUCAAUUUUUUCAUGUGUAGAAUGGGGAUAUAUUAUUUCACAUCAUUUCACAACAGCCCUGGGCCCCCUAAGUGAGUAAAUGGCAGAGAAGGAAGUUCAAUCUUCUUCAGGAGCAUACCACACUGCCUUCCCAGUAAACUGUACAAAUCGUACCUAUAGCACUAUAUAACUUACAUAAAAUUAUUCUUAUAUAAACAUGCUUACCAUGUUUGUGGGCUGUGUCAUGACUCAUUAUAUCAGGAAUAUGUGUUUUAUGGAGUUUUCUGUAUUUGUGUUCUAUUUCCUCACUAAAAAAAAAAAAAGAUUUAAAAAAGCGAUGCAAUGUCAAACUGUACAAAUGAGUUUGGAGCAAAAAACAGAUGCCACCGCCAGUUUUGCUUCCUGUGGCUUUUUUAUUUUUAAAUUAACAUAAUUUAUUUGUUUUUAAGUUUUAGGCUUACUGAAACAUUGAAUGGAAAGCACAGAGUUCCCAGGUACCUCCUCUCCUCUGCUGCUCACAGUUUGCCCUGUACUAACAUCUUGCCUGGGUGCAAUAAACUUAUCACAACUGAUGAACUGGUUUGAUACAUUAUUAGUAACCGAAGUCUGCAGUGCACAUUAGGGGUCAGUUGGUGUUGUGCAGUCUAAGAGUCUAAUGCAUAAUGUCCUCCAUCCACCGUCAUGGUAUCAUAGGCAAGAGAUUUUUGCCUAUGUUUUAUUCCAAGAGUUUUAUGGUUUCAUGACUUACAUUCAGGUCUUUGAUCCAUUUUGAGUUUAUUUUUGUGUAUGGAGUUAGACAGUAAUCCAGUUUCAUUCUCUUGCAUGGAGCUGUCCAGUUUUGCCAACACCGGCUGUUGAAGAGGCUGUCGUUUCCCCAUUGUAUGUAUGUUCACAGCUCCUUUAUCGUAUAUGAAUUGACCAUAGAUGCUUAGGUUUAUAUCUGGACUCUCUAGUCUGUUCUGUUGGUCUACGGGUCUGUUCUUGUGCCGGUACCAAACUGUUUUGAUUACUGUGGCUUU